rnacentral:rRNA from 1 species
CAGCAAUAUGAAGGUCAGGCUGAAGACCUUACCGGAUUAGCUGAGAGGUGGUGCAUGGCCGUCGUCAGUUCGUACUGUGAAGCAUCCUGUUAAGUCAGGCAACGAGCGAGACCCACGUCCACAGUUGCCAGCAUACCCUCCGGGGGUGAUGGGUACACUGUGGAGACCGCCGCUGCUAAAGCGGAGGAAGGAAUGGGCAACGGUAGGUCAGUAUGCCCCGAAUCUCCCGGGCUACACGCGGGCUACAAUGGUUGGUACAAUGGGCAUCUACCCGAAAGGGGAAGGAAAUCUCUUAAAGCCAAUCGUAGUUCGGAUUGAGGGCUGCAGCUCGCCCUCAUGAAGCUGGAAUCCGUAGUAAUCGCGUUUCAACAGAACGCGGUGAAUACGUCCCUGCUCCUU